rnacentral:rRNA from 1 species
UACGGAGGGUGCAAGCGUUACCCGGAAUCACUGGGCGUAAAGAGCGCGCAGGCGGUCGUUCAAGUCGCGUGUGAAAGCCCCCGGCUCAACUGGGGAGGGUCACGCGAUACUGAUCGACUCGAAGGCAGGAGAGGGACGUGGAACUCCGGGAGUAGCGGUGAAAUGCGUAGAGACCCGGAGGAACACCAGUGGCGAAGGCGGCGUCCUGGUCUGCAACUGACGCUGUGGCGCGAAAGCUAGGGGAGCGAACGGG